rnacentral:rRNA from 1 species
GAUGAACGCUGGCGGCGUGCUUAACACAUGCAAGUCGAACGAAGCACUUUAUUUGAUUUCCUUCGGGACUGAUUAUUUUGUGACUGAGUGGCGGACGGGUGAGUAACGCGUGGGUAACCUGCCUUGUACAGGGGGAUAACAGUUGGAAACGGCUGCUAAUACCGCAUAAGCGCACAGCAUCGCAUGAUGCGGUGUGAAAAACUCCGGUGGUAUAAGAUGGACCCGCGUUGGAUUAGCUAGUUGGUGAGGUAACGGCCCACCAAGGCGACGAUCCAUAGCCGACCUGAGAGGGUGACCGGCCACAUUGGGACUGAGACACGGCCCAAACUCCUACGGGAGGCAGCAGUGGGGAAUAUUGCACAAUGGGCGAAAGCCUGAUGCAGCGACGCCGCGUGAGCGAAGAAGUAUUUCGGUAUGUAAAGCUCUAUCAGCAGGGAAGAUAAUGACGGU